UCAGGAAAAUCACGCCCUAUUUAGGAACCAAAAGAAAGCUCCUAAUAAUGGCUGCACCCUGAAGAGCAGCGCUAGAGGUACUCGGUCCUAAGGACGGGGAAAAAAAGGAGAAUCCAAAGUUUAGAGGUUAAAAUUAGACACAAAUGAAAAGGCCUUCUCCACCUACGAGUCACGCAGAUAAUAAGGCCGUCUCCUGAGAAAAGAAUUCCAUCUAUUUCCUCAUUCUUCUCCGGUGAAGUUGCUUUCCUACUGACAUUAGCAAACAAAAUAAAUACAAUUUAUCUUUUAUGCUUGUCCCGGCAUCUGAUAGAACACCUGGCACUUCCUAGAUUCUCUAUCAGUGCUUUUGCUUUGAGUAGAUGGAGAUUUGAUUCAGUUUUAUUUGAUACAUGUAAGAGUGGCCUGCUGAGUACAUCAGAAAGAAGACUGUGAGUCCUGAACAGACAGCAGAAUCUCACAGCCCAAACUCCACAUGCCAUUCAUGUAACCGCGUAGCACUGCAGCUCUGCUGUUGAGGUUUGCACUGCCCACUCCAGUAGCCACUAGGCACCUCAAGCCACUGAGCACAUGAAAUGAGGCCCGUCUGAACCGAGGUAUGUAGCAGGCAUAAAAUACACCCUGGAUUUCAAAGACUUGGUACCAAAGAAGAAGGCAUCGUUCCCCAAAACACUCCCUAAUGCAGCUCCUGUGUGAUGAGUCUGCUUCCCAGGAAACUCAACUUGCAACAGUGGUAGGAGUGGCCCAAGAAAACAGAUGCUCACGUGGGAUUCUGAAGCUGCCACCUGACUAGCCAGCUAGCAGUGAAGACCCUGAUCAUCAGAAGGAGGAGGGCUGCUCUAUAUAAUGGGACAGAGAAGAAUGUGACGGCAUCCUCCUGGUCCACUGGAGUGCCUCUUGACAUUUCCUUGCUCAUCUUGAUGAUAAAUGGAUAAACACAGCAGUAAUACUUAAGAAAAGCAUGGAGAUCAGGAGCUCAGAGGCCUCAGAAAUGAAGAUCUGGGUCUUGCCAACAGGAAAAGAGAUCCAACAGAAUCUUGGAGGAACUCUUCCCAGAAUUUAUAUGAAGUGGAUCUGAGUAGUGCAAAUGGUGGACCAUAGUGGAAGCUGUGAUGUGCCACUCUGUCUCCUUGAAGACUGAAGGACUUAUUCCUCCAGCUAUUCAGGGCACCAUUGGCUGACAGUCAUCAGAAAUUACUAUAGGCUGGAGAGUUCUGCCUUGCACAAAGUUCCCAUGCUUCCUUCCCCAGGGCAGCUCAGAUCUAAUAACUGGUCAAUAUGUAAUAUAAAGGCCCAAAUCCCUCAGCUUAUCUCAGGACAUUAAAGGACAUCAGAGCUUCAGGGUCCCCAGAGGGUUAGCCUAGCCUUUGCUGAGACCACACCACAGUGCAAUUUCUUCUACUGCUUCCUUCUCUCCCUUUCCACAGUGUUGAUCCUGGGAGUGCACCCUAUAAAAAUUUCUGCACACUGAUCUCCAUCCCAGAGUUUGCUUCCUGGGAACCCCACCCUACGACAAAAACAUUGGGACACCUGAUGAAAUUUGAAUAUGGACUCUUUUUUAAAUAAUGGGGUUGUACCAAUGUUAAAUUUCCUGAUUUUUGAUCAUAUAUUGUGUUUAUAUAAGAGAACGUUUUUGUUCUUAGGAAACACACUGACAAAAACAGGAAUAAAGGCACACAGUAUCUGCAACUUAAUUUCAAAUGAUUUAGAAAAAAAUUGUACAUGGAGAGGUGGAAGAUCAGACAAAAAGAAGAAAAUAGGGCUAAAUGGAAACAAUUGGCGAAUCUGGGUAAAAACUAUGGAGGUUAUUUAUACACUUCUUGCAACUUUUCUGUAAGUUUGAAUUUACAUCAAUAUUACAAAUUAUCAAAGUAAAAUGACCAGACCUCAUACCAUUCUCAGAGAUUCUGAUUCCCUUGGGUGCUAUUAUAUUUCCAGCACUCAGCUCCAGUCUGUAGGUAUUCAAUAAAUAUUUACUGAGUAAAUGAAUGAGUUAAUGAGUAACCUUGGAAGUUAAGAUAAUGAGUUCAGUUUUGGAUAUGGAGACCUUUGAGUGCCUGUGAGUCCUCUUUUGAAAGUCCACUCUAGGGACUGAAUAACCUUUUGCUCAAUUCUGAAGGUAACAAGUGAAGAUAUAACUCCUGUGUCCUUUUUUGAGACCAUUAUUCUCCCUAGCAUUUAGAAGUCUGAAGUCCCUAUGAGACCUUGUGUAAACAAUAUCUCAUCACUUUGGACCUAAUUUGAUUUUUAAAUGACAUAGUGACUGAGUAUUGACCUUAAAUGAUGGAGAAAUGACCUGACUUCUGUGGGCAUCCAAAUUUCUGUAUCCUGUUUUGACCACAGUACACAUAAUUAUCUUUCCUUUUUAUAUUUUUUUAGUUUUGAACUUUAGCCUAGCAAGUCGGAAGCAUAUCACAUUAAGGUGUUCUGGUAGAAGUUAACUCCAAAAGCAUGGCAUUUGUAAGUGGGCAAGAUGGACUAGCUAAUGAGUAGAUGGGAAAAAAAAAAAGUGGGGGGGGAACUCCAAGGAUUGUUACUGCCCUCCAGUGGUGGUGCUCUCAGAUACAGAUGGUUCAAAGCCCAUCAUUCAUCUCUGUUUUCCACUGCAAAGUCCCAAAUGCCAUUCAUUCAAGCUUAGGGACUAAACUGCAAUGCUAACUUGCCAGGAAAUUUGUAUUAUGGUUUUCUGAUUUUAAAGUAAUAAGUUCAGUUUGUCCUCUUGUGGUCCUGAAGAAGAUCAUAAGCUUCCAGAGCAACCACUUUACUCUGAGAGUGUAUUCAAUGUGGGGAGAAUCUGGCCCAUGAGAGCCCUUGUCUUGAUGACACCCCAAACCCCUGCCCUGUUCUCCCUAGCUCUGCCCAUUUACACACCCUGAUAGAGAGAGAGAACAUCACUGAUUCACCUUUCAGUCCCCACUGGACAUUUCCAAGUCAUUUUUUUUAUCUGUGAGCUGCUACAUUUUAACUGUGAGCUCCUAUAUUGACUAUUUCAGGGCCAGGGAAAUAAAAAACGGAAUUGGCUAAAGCCCAACUCAUUGAUUUUUAACCCAGCAAGAGCCUUUGCCUAUUGGAGAAAAAAAAAAAAAAUCACCAAAUUUAGAAUAAAAGAAAAAAAAUUGGCCCAAGCAUAUCAUGUAAGUUUUAUAUAAAGCACACUUUUUGGCCUUGACAAACACCAUCCAGUUUACACAAAGCUCAUAAAAGUGUUAAUGUUUCCUACUUUUAAAACUCACAUAUAGUGUUCUCUGUGCACUAACGAUGUGUCCUGUUAACCAAAGUUUGACCUUUCUGUGGUGUAAAUCCAAGCCCACACACCAGCUCGUCCAAUGCCAUAAUCUCUGGCAGUGAUGUCAUUCCUUGACACUAAAAACAAACACCACCCAGAUCUGUUUCCUUUCUCCUGCAGGUUUGUAGUCCAUUGUAGAGCUGCCAAUGGGUAGGGGCUCAGGAGACCACAGGGCUUUGCUUGUAUCUAGUGGCUUGAGCAGCUGGCUUCCAGGGACUGGCCCAGACCAAAAACCAAAAAGAAAACAAGAACAACAACAACAAAAACCCCAAACCACCUCCAGAGAAUGCUGUGCAAGCUCUGCUUAUAUAAUUCAUAAGGAUGUAAAGACCAAAGCGAACAGUUGGCAUCCAAUAAAAGGUCAAUAUAUAUUGUAUUUACUGGCAGAUAACUUAUGCCAGUUUUACAAGGAAAUUUGGUAGAUGGGAAUAUGGAGGAAAAAAUUGAAAUAGUUUUCAUCUUACCUGUUUUAAAGAGAUUUUUAAAGGAGUUCUGUAGAUAUAGUAUUCAAUAUACAGACGUCCAGUUGAAAAUCAUUGGUUUUGAUUAUGCAAGAAUAUUCUAUUAAUCCUGAAAGAAAAUAAAUUCACAUGGUUAAAGAGAAAUAUAUCAGUGGCAUUUGGUACUGAGUAGGCUAUAAAACAAAACAAAUUUACUGGUAAGUGAAAUCCCAUAUCCCACAUGGAAUUCUGUAUAAAUAGAUAUCAAUACACUCUUCCAACAAGUAAUGGAAACCAAAAGUUAAUAACAACAUGAGAUAAAUUUGAAUAAACUUUUACAAAAGCUAAGACAAAUCAACUAGCAAAACAGAAUACAUAAGAAGUUUCUUCUACAGUUGCAAAAGGAGUCAGUAAAAACUUGAUACAAAACACACAGCAAGAAAAUAAAUGUGAAAGAAUGCCCAUUUCACACUCAUACAUAUAGUAAAAGUAAAUAUUUCACUGGAUAUUAGUACAGUCAUCCCUCCGUAUCCAUGGGGGAUUGGUUCCAGGACACCCACAGAUGCUCAGACGCCUCAUACAUUGAUAAAAUGGCAUAGGACCAUUGGCCCUCCGUAUCUGCAGGUUCCAUAUCCCAGAGGAUUCAACUUUUGAAUCUUAGGAUGCAGAACCUGUGAUAUAGAGGGCCAACUGUAUACAGUAAACAGCAGAAAAAAAUUAAUGGAUUCUAGUGCAAACCCUUGACACUAGCAUCAUAGCAAUGCCUCCAUUGGCUCUUAGAUGGACAAUAUCCACUUUGCUCUGAUGUUGGUGUCUCCUUUUCACUAGGAGAUCUCAUUAUUGCUAUUGUCUUCCUGUUUUUUACUCCACCCUUCCUUACUUCCUCUCUACAUUGUUGGCUCUUUCAUCUUUAAUAUGGGUACAUUGGGGGAUGGGGUGGGGAGGAUGUAUGCUGCCAGAGCAAAUAAAGUAAAUCUGUGCUUCCUAGAUGCUAGGGCACUGCAUUUGACUGUUCUAUGCCUCCGAACUGAAGGCUUCCUAGACAAGCCCCUCUGGAAAUACAAUACACUCACGGUUUUAAUUUUGCACCAAUGAAUGUAUGUACUUAGAGUUGUACACUGUUUGAGAAGUCAAGUUAUAAUCUCCAGUAAUUGACUAACUUAGUU